GACGAACGCUGGCGGCGUGCUUAACACAUGCAAGUCGAACGGAAAGGCCCUGCUUUUGUGGGUUCUCCUUUUGCGAACCGUUUAUUAACCCCUUAGUUACCUUCCCUUUUCUUUUGGAUUACUUCUUGAAACUUGGGCUUAUACCCGAUUGGAUCUUCUUCUUCUUUGUGGGGGUUUGGAAGUUUCGGCGGUUGGGGAUGGACGCGCGGCUUAUCAGCUUGUUGGUUGGGUUGUGGCUUACCAAGGCUUUGAAGGGUAGCCGGCCUGAGAGGGUGACCGGCGACAAUGGGACUGAGAUACGGACCAGACUCCUACGGGAGGCAGCAGUGGGGAAUAUUGCACAAUGGGCGGAAGCGUGAUGCAGCAACGCCGCGUGCGGGAUGACGGCCUUCGGGUUGUAAACCGCUUUCGCCUGUGACGAAGCGUGAGUGACGGUAAUGGGUAAAGAAGCACCGGCUAACUACGUG
rnacentral:rRNA from 1 species